UACAUGCAGAUAAAGUAAGCUGGGUGCCGUUCCACUUAUCGAUCUUAUCUAAGAUCAGUCUUAGCAAGUUACGCUAAUUUUUCAAUCGUCUUAGCUAAACGUUACGCCCGUUCCAAUAA